UCGAGGAUCUUCCGCAAUGGACGCAAGUCUGACGGAGCGACGCCGCGUGGAGGACGAAGGCCUUCGGGUUGUAAACUCCUGUCUAGGGUUAUGAAAGUACAAGCGCGAACAGUGCUUGGGAUGACGUAAGCCCUGGAGGAAGCACCGGCUAACUCUGUGCCAGCAGCCGCGGUAAUACAGAGGGUGCAAACGUUGUUCGGAAUCACUGGGCAUAAAGCGCAUGUAGGCGGCUACGUGAGUGUCGGAUGAAAUCCCACGGCCUACCCGUGGAACGGUUCGGCAUACUGCGUAGCUAGAGGAUGGUAGAGGAGAGCGGAACUCUUGGUGGAGCGGUGAAAUGCGUAGAUAUCAAGAGGAACACCGGUGGCGAAGGCGGCUCUCUGGUCCAUUACUGACGCUGAGGUGCGAAAGCCAGGGGAGCAAACGGGAUUAGAUACCCCCGUAGUCC
rnacentral:rRNA from 1 species